rnacentral:lncRNA from 1 species
UCAAUAUAUGCACAGACAAGAGGCUGUCACAACGACAGCAAACCAGAUUUAUUAAUAUUUAUUUGUGUCCUGGCAAUAUCACAAGAACCAUUACUGAUGAAUGGUGAAAGUGAAAAUCGUCAAUAUCAAAUUUGACCUCCAUUUUGUCAUCAGUAUCAACAUCUUAAAAUUUGAAAAGCUUAGAUUGAAUGGUUCAUGAGUAAAUGCAACAACGUGAAUUGAAACGCCAUUUCACAAUCUUUCAAGAACCAUAACUCCUGAACGGUAAAAGUAAAAAUCGUCAUUAUUGAACUUGACCUCUAAUUUGCCAUCAGUAACAACAUAUAAAAAUUUCAAAAGCUUUGGUUGAAUGGUUCAUGAGAAAAUGCACGAACACGACUGGAAACACCAUUUUUCAAUCUUUCAAGAACCAUAACUCCUGAACGGUAAAAGUCAAAAUCGUCAUUAUUGAACUUGACCUCUAUUUUGUCAUCAGUAACAACAUAUUAAAAUUUGGGAAGCUUUGGUAAAACAGUUCAUGCAUAAAUGCACGGACACGACUGGAAACACCAUUUUUCAAUCUUUCAAGAACCAUAACUCCUGAACGGUAAAAGUCAAAAUCGCCAUUAUUGAACUUGACCUCCAUUUUGUCAUCAGUAACAACAUAUUAAAAUUUCGGAAGCUUAGGUAGAACAGUUCAUGCGUAAAUGCACGGACACGACUGGAAACUCCAUUUUUCAAUCUUUCAAGAACCAUAACUCCUGAACGGUAAAAGUCAAAAUCGCCAUUAUUGAACUUGACCUUCAUUUAAUUGUCAGUAACAACAUAUUAAAAUUUUAAAAGCUUUGGUUGAACGGUUCAUGAGUUAAUGCACGGACAACAUUUGAUGACGCCCGCCCG